rnacentral:rRNA from 1 species
GCAAAAGUUGGCCGGCCGGUGCUUACACAUGCAAGUCGAACGAUGAUGCCCAGCUUGCUGGGCGGAUUAGUGGCGAACGGGAGAGUAAUACGUGAGUAACCUGCCCUUGACUCUGGGAUAAGCCUGGGAAACUGGGUCUAAUACUGGAUACUACCUCUUACCGCAUGGUGGGUGGUGGAAAGGGUUUUACUGGUUUUGGAUGGGCUCACGGCCUAUCAGCUUGUUGGUGGGGUAAUGGCUCACCAAGGCGACGACGGGUAGCCGGCCUGAGAGGGUGACCGGCCACACUGGGACUGAGACACGGCCCAGACUCCUACGGGAGGCAGCAGUGGGGAAUAUUGCACAAUGGGCGGAAGCCUGAUGCAGCGACGCCGCGUGAGGGAUGACGGCCUUCGGGUUGUAAACCUCUUUCAGUAGGGAAGAAGCGAGAGUGACGGUACCUGCAGAAGAAGCGCCGGCUAACUACGUGCCAGCAGCCGCGGUAAUACGUAGGGCGCAAGCGUUGUCCGGAAUUAUUGGGCGUAAAGAGCUCGUAGGCGGUUUGUCGCGUCUGCUGUGAAAGCCCGGGGCUCAACCCCGGGUCUGCAGUGGGUACGGGCAGACUAGAGUGCAGUAGGGGAGACUGGAAUUCCUGGUGUAGCGGUGAAAUGCGCAGAUAUCAGGAGGAACACCGAUGGCGAAGGCAGGUCUCUGGGCUGUUACUGACGCUGAGGAGCGAAAGCAUGGGGAGCGAACAGGAUUAGAUACCCUGGUAGUCCAUGCCGUAAACGUUGGGCACUAGGUGUGGGGGACAUUCCACGUUUUCCGCGCCGUAGCUAACGCAUUAAGUGCCCCGCCUGGGGAGUACGGCCGCAAGGCUAAAACUCAAAGGAAUUGACGGGGGCCCGCACAAGCGGCGGAGCAUGCGGAUUAAUUCGAUGCAACGCGAAGAACCUUACCAAGGCUUGACAUUCACCGGACCGCCCCAGAGAUGGGGUUUCCCUUCGGGGCUGGUGGACAGGUGGUGCAUGGUUGUCGUCAGCUCGUGUCGUGAGAUGUUGGGUUAAGUCCCGCAACGAGCGCAACCCUCGUUUUAUGUUGCCAGCACGUGAUGGUGGGGACUCAUAGGAGACUGCCGGGGUCAACUCGGAGGAAGGUGGGGAUGACGUCAAAUCAUCAUGCCCCUUAUGUCUUGGGCUUCACGCAUGCUACAAUGGCCGGUACAAAGGGUUGCGAUACUGUGAGGUGGAGCUAAUCCCAAAAAGCCGGUCUCAGUUCGGAUUGAGGUCUGCAACUCGACCUCAUGAAGUCGGAGUCGCUAGUAAUCGCAGAUCAGCAACGCUGCGGUGAAUACGUUCCCGGGCCUUGUACACACCGCCCGUCAAGUCACGAAAGUUGGUAACACCCGAAGCCGGUGGCCUAACCCCUUGUGGCAGGCCCCGUAAGGAGGAAACAAGUC